GAGAGAGAGAGAGGGAGAGAGUAGGGGGAGGGAGAAAUACAAUAGCCAUUACUUAAAAUCAUAUCAUGCAUCUAGAAAGAGAGAGAGUUUAUGGUGAUUUGAAGGUGAGGGAAAAAAAAACAGGUUUUGUGAGAGAGAGAGAGGUACAAUAGCCAUUACUUAAAUCAUAUCAUGCAUCUUGAGAGAGAGAGAGAGUUUAUGGAGACUUGAAGAAAAAGGAAAAAAAAAAAAA
rnacentral:misc_RNA from 1 species